AACCAGGGGGCGCUUCGAAAUUGCGAUGGUAGCGCCACCGCAGUACAACACAUGGUCGUGUCGCGUCGGUCGUGUUCGUAGCGUUGCAUUGGCGUCGCAGGUGUUUCGAGCGUACAGUGAAGAUUUAGAGAAAGAUAGAAAGCGUGCGAGAGUUAUUUCUCAUGGUGAGUCAAGAUACGAUAGAGAAGCUUCAAUAACACGCAUCUUCCACCGAGAAAGCGGUUGAUUUCCCCGCCAACGAGUCGGGUCCGCCUCGCAAGUACGGUCGUGUCGCCCGUGCGGCGUCUACGAGAUAACUUUACAGGUUCAAGUUGUCCAGUCCACAUGCAAGAUUUCCAGAUAUUGGCUGGGGGCUUGAUUCAUACUUUACUGUGUGGGACAUUUUAGGAGGAAAAUGUUGUGGAGCAAAGGAAACACCAGUGACACAUGAUAGGUUGUCAUCAGUAGAACAACUUUUAUUUUCUAGAAACAUAAUCCAUGCAUGCCAGUGUUUAAUUGCUGCUUCACUGAAUAAAGUUUUUCGUGGCAUGUU
rnacentral:lncRNA from 1 species